GGAUCGAUCAAGGGCAGGGAAAAACAAGGGUUACCUUGUUCUUGCAAGAAUUCAGCAAUUGACAAGGAGAAAUCACGUUUAAAUUGCUGCAUGUUCUAAAACUUCAAACAUCUAAGCAUAUCUAGUAGAUUGGCGUGAAGGAAGAAGGCUCAAGUGCUAAGAAAACGGAAGGUUCACAAGAUCGAGAUGGCUGAUGCAAGCAACGUUAAUGAUAAUGACGAUGUGGCUAGACAAGAAGCGUUCGAGAACAAAGUUACGGAAGUAGCGGAAGG